rnacentral:misc_RNA from 1 species
GAUGAAGAACGUAGCGAAAUGCGAUAAGUAAUGUGAAUUGCAGAAUUCAGUGAAUCAUCGAAUCUUUGAACGCACAUUGCGCCCCUUGGUAUUCCGAGGGGCAUGCCUGUUCGAGCGUCAUUAUAACCCCUCAAGCUCAGCUUGGUGUUGGGGCCUGCUGCACUGGCAGCCCUUAAAAUCAGUGGCGGCGCCAUCUGGCUCUAAGCGUAGUAAUUCAUCUCGCUAUGGAGUCCUGGUGGAUGCUUGCCAUCAACCCCCAAUUUUUCUAUGGUUGACCUCGGAUCAGGUAGGGAUACCCGCUGAACUUAAGCAUAUCAAUAAGCGGAGGA